rnacentral:rRNA from 1 species
GUGCCAGCCGCCGCGGUAAUACGGAGGAUGCAAGCGUUAUCCGGAUUUAUUGGGUUUAAAGGGUGCGCAGGCGGCUUGUUAAGCGGGAGGUGAAAUGCCGGCGCUCAACGUCGGAAGUGCCUCCCGAACUGGUGAGCUUGAAUGACUCUGCCGUGGGAGGAAUGUGUAGUGUAGCGGUGAAAUGCUUAGAGAUUACACAGAACACCGAUUGCGAAGGCAUCUCACGAAGGGUUGAUUGACGCUGAGGCACGAAAGCGUGGGGAUCAAACAGGAUUAGAUACCCUGGUAGUCCACGCAGUAAACGAUGAUGGCUAACCGCUGGGCUAUCCGGUUCAGUGGCCAAGCGAAAGCGAUAAGCCAUCCACCUGGGGAGUACGACCGCAAGGUUGAAACUCAAAGGAAUUGACGGGGGCCCGCACAAGCGGAGGAACAUGUGGUUUAAUUCGAUGAUACGCGAGGAACCUUACCCGGGCUCGAACGGCUGGUGAACGACACAGAGAUGUGAAGGUCUUCGGGACGCCAGUCGAGGUGCUGCAUGGUUGUCGUCAGCUCGUGCCGUGAGGUGUCGGCUCAAGUGCCAUAACGAGCGCAACCCUUGCCGUCAGUUACCAUCAAGUAGUGUUGGGGACUCUGGCGGGACUGCCACCGCAAGGUGUGAGGAAGGGGGGGAUGACGUCAAAUCAGCACGGCCCUUACGUCCGGGGCGACACACGUGUUACAAUGGCGGCCACAGAGGGGCACUACCUGGCGACAGGAUGGGAAUCUCGAAAAGCCGUCUCAGUCCGGAUCGGAGUCUGCAACCCGACUCCGUGAAGCUGGAUUCGCUAGUAAUCGCGCAUCAGCCAUGGCGCGGUGAAUACGUUCCCGGGCCUUGUACACACCGCCCGU